AUUGAACGCUGGCGGCAGGCCUAACACAUGCAAGUCGAGCGGAUGAAGAGAGCUUGCUCUCUGAUUUAGCGGCGGACGGGUGAGUAAUGCCUAGGAAUCUGCCUGGUAGUGGGGGAUAACGUUCCGAAAGGAACGCUAAUACCGCAUACGUCCUACGGGAGAAAGCAGGGGACCUUCGGGCCUUGCGCUAUCAGAUGAGCCUAGGUCGGAUUAGCUAGUUGGUGAGGUAAUGGCUCACCAAGGCGACGAUCCGUAACUGGUCUGAGAGGAUGAUCAGUCACACUGGAACUGAGACACGGUCCAGACUCCUACGGGAGGCAGCAGUGGGGAAUAUUGGACAAUGGGCGAAAGCCUGAUCCAGCCAUGCCGCGUGUGAAGAAGGUCUUCGGAUUGUAAAGCACUUUAAGUUGGGAGGAAGGGCAGUAAGUUAAUACCUUGCUGUUUUGACGUUACCGACAGAAUAAGCACCGGCUAACUUCGUGCCAGCCGCCGCAGUAAGAC
rnacentral:rRNA from 1 species